UCCUAGGUGAGCCUCGCUCAGCACCAGUGCUUUCCAGCUUCUGUUUGUGAUUUGCUGGAGCCAGUUUCGCCAAAGCAGAUCCAAGCAGAGGAGACAUGAGGGGAGGAGUCUCCAAGUUCUAUCACAAAGGAGUGCAUUAAAGUGGGGGGGGUGUGUGACGAUCUGUUCCGUGUACCAGCCUCCCCAAGGGCUUGCACAUAGCUCCCUGGAAACCUCCCCUGGAAACUCCAUCUGGUCAAAACGCAUAGUGACAGCACAGACGGUGCAAACCUACAGACACAAGCAGAGACUGCCUGUGAUCUGCGCUCUCAGGCAGGAGUCACAGCAGACAACGGUGGCAACGUUGGGGAUGUAGCCUGGAAACCGCGAAAGAGCCUUCACCCAGUAACUGAUGGAAACAGAAGCAGGCACCCACAGCUAAACACUGAGCCA